AUCGCUUCUCGGCCUUUUGGCUAAGAUCAAGUGUAGAAAGUAAAACUUGAUUGGUUUUUUUAGCUACAAUAUUUCUUUAAAAAUGAGAAUUACUGUCCUGGAUCCCAGGUUUGCUUGGUGCCCUCGAAACUACAGCACCUCACUGAACCAGAGGACUCACU
rnacentral:snRNA from 1 species